GGGAGCGAACAGGAUUAGAUACCCUGGUAGUCCAUGCCGUAAACGUUGGGCACUAGGUGUGGGGACCAUUCCACGGUUUCCGCGCCGCAGCUAACGCAUUAAGUGCCCCGCCUGGGGAGUACGGCCGCAAGGCUAAAACUCAAAGGAAUUGACGGGGGCCCGCACAAGCGGCGGAGCAUGCGGAUUAAUUCGAUGCAACGCGAAGAACCUUACCAAGGCUUGACAUGUUCUCGAUCGCCGUAGAGAUACGGUUUCCCCUUUGGGGCGGGUUCACAGGUGGUGCAUGGUUGUCGUCAGCUCGUGUCGUGAGAUGUUGGGUUAAGUCCCGCAACGAGCGCAACCCUCGUUCCAUGUUGCCAGCACGUAAUGGUGGGGACUCAUGGGAGACUGCCGGGGUCAACUCGGAGGAAGGUGAGGACGACGUCAAAUCAUCAUGCCCCUUAUGUCUUGGGCUUCACGCAUGCUACAAUGGCCGGUACAAUGGGUUGCGAUACUGUGAGGUGGAGCUAAUCCCAAAAAGCCGGUCUCAGUUCGGAUUGGGGUCUGCAACUCGACCCCAUGAAGUCGGAGUCGCUAGUAAUCGCAGAUCAGCAACGCUGCGGUGAAUACGUUCCCGGGCCUUGUACACACCGCCCGUCAAGUCACGAAAGUCGGUAACAC
rnacentral:rRNA from 1 species